rnacentral:rRNA from 1 species
AUUGAACGCUGGCGGAAUGCUUUACACAUGCAAGUCGAGCGGCAGCACGGGGGCAACCCUGGUGGCGAGCGGCGAACGGGUGAGUAAUACAUCGGAACAUGCCCAGUCGUGGGGGAUAACACUUCGAAAGAAGUGCUAAUACCGCAUACGUCCUGAGGGGGAAAGCGGGGGAUCGCAAGACCUCGCGCGAUUGGAGUGGCCGAUGUCAGAUUAGCUAGUUGGUGGGGUAAAGGCCUACCAAGGCAACGAUCUGUAGCUGGUCUGAGAGGAUGAUCAGCCACACUGGGACUGAGACACGGCCCAGACUCCUACGGGAGGCAGCAGUGGGGAAUUUUGGACAAUGGGGGCAACCCUGAUCCAGCCAUUCCGCGUGAGUGAAGAAGGCCUUCGGGUUGUAAAGCUCUGUCGGCAGGAACGAACCGGUGAGCUCUAACAUAGCUUGCUAAUGACGGUACCUGAAGAAGAAGCACCGGCUAACUACGUG